UUGCAGGCUGCAACUCGCCUGCAUGAAGUUGGAAUUGCUAGUAAUCGCGAAUCAGAAUGUCGCGGUGAAUACGUUCCCGGGUCUUGUACACACCGCCCGUCACACCAUGGGAGUCAGUAACGCCCGAAGCCGGUGACCCAACCUAUUCUGGAGGGAGCCGUCGAAGGCGGGACGGAUGACUGGGGUGAAGUCGUAACAAGGUAGC
rnacentral:rRNA from 1 species